rnacentral:lncRNA from 1 species
UCUAGGACCUAGGUUCUCCAGCUGUGAUGCAUCAAACCCAUAGCUGUAUAAUUUGCACUUCUAAGAGAGGACAGCUUCGUCCUAAUCUGAUUACUUCUAUCAUAUACCUAAAGGGGAGACAAUGCUAUCUUGUUAGGACAUAGCUUUCCAUGAUGUCUAGGAACAGAUAUGUUAGGUGUCAGUGUAGAGAUAGUUCUUAACUGUCACAUAGAUUUUUUCUCCAAGCAACUUCAGACAUGUACUGUAUGGUGAAAAGUGCAUUGUCUAAAUAGAAAAAAGAGACUUAGACUUUGUGCCCUAGCCAAAAAUAAUCUUCAUCAUACUUCUGUCCUGGGAAACCGUCUCCAGAGAUUUUCAUCUACAUGUUAUUAGUCAGAACUGUAUGAAAGGACACUUAGCUGCACAUGCCUUUGGGAAGGUGAGAAUUUUGCUGUCCGUCCUGUAUAUAGAGAGGGCAAAGGAGAUGAUGAUUGGGGAAAUGUAGAGUGAAACAAUUGUUGAUAGUAAUCUGCCACAGGGACAGACCUGUUGAAAUGUGUUUACACCAUGGUGUUACUAUUUUGUGUGACUGGUAAAUAAAUUUGAAGUUGCAUUGGUUGUGGCAAUUCCAUGA